UACGAAGGGGGCUAGCGUUGCUCGGAAUCACUGGGCGUAAAGGGCUCGUAGGCGGCCAACUAAGUCGGAUGUGAAAUCCCCAGGCUUAACCUGGGAACUGCAUCCGAUACUGGAUGGCUUGAAUCCGGGAGAGGGAUGCAGAAUUCCAGGUGUAGCGGUGAAAUGCGUAGAUAUCUGGAGGAAUACCGGUGGCGAAGGCGGCAUCCUGGACCGGCAUUGACGCUGAGGAGCGAAAGCUAGGGGAGCAAACGGG
rnacentral:rRNA from 1 species